ACUGGCUUCCCCUCUGUUGGGC
rnacentral:misc_RNA from 1 species